GCACAUACAAUAUGCCAGUAUUAACACGUAUUAUCAUGGCUCGUUGGCACAUACAACAUCCAAUACUCACAUGUAUUAUCAUGGCUCACCAGCACAUACAAUCUGUCAGUACUCACCAGUAUUAUCAUGGCUCGUCAGAAGACACAAUAUACCAGUACUCACACGUAUUAUCAUGGUUCACCAGCACAUACAAUAUGUCAGUACUCACAUGUAUUAUCAUGGUUCAUCAGCACAU